UAGCACUGUUGCCUCACAGCAAGAAGGUCUGGGGUUCAGUUCCACCCAUGCCAGGUUACUUUCUGUACAGAGUUUGCACGUU